AAUCAAGCGCGAGAAGGGCGUUUGGUGGAUGCCUUGGCAGUAAGAGGCGAUGAAAGACGUGAUACUCUGCGAUAAGUCAUGGGGAGCUGAGAAUAAGCUUUGAUCCAUGAAUUUCUGAAUGGGGGAACCCACCUGACAGUUUGUUAUAAAAUGCUCUGCAUUUUAUAACUUGCUGAACCAGGUACUUAAGACCUGAAUACAUAGGGUUUUAAGAGCAAACCCGGGGAACUGAAACAUCUAAGUACCCGGAGGAAAGGAAAUCAAUUGAUACUCCCCUAGUAGCGGCGAGCGAACGGGGACCAGCCAAGCCUGAUAAGUGACUAGAACGUGUUGGGAAGCACGGCCAUAGCGGGUGAUAGCCCCGUAUAGGAAGCUUUGAAGGAUGUAUUAAGUAGGGCGGGACACGUGAAAUCCUGUCUGAAGAUCGGAGGACCACCUUCGAAGGCUAAGUACUCCUUACUGACCGAUAGCGAACCAGUACCGUGAGGGAAAGGUGAAAAGCACCCCGACAAGGGGAGUGAAACAGUACCUGAAACCGAACGCCUACAAUCAGUUGGAGGCCCCUUGAGGGCUGACAGCGUACCUUUUGUAUAAUGGGUCAUCGACUUAGUGUAUCUAGCAAGCUUAAGCCGUUAGGUGUAGGCGCAGCGAAAGCGAGUCUUAAUAGGGCGCUUGAGUUAGAUGCAUUAGACCCGAAACCGAGUGAUCUAGGCAUGACCAGGAUGAAGGUAAGGUAACACUUACUGGAGGUCCGAACCCACACCUGUUGAAAAAGGUCGGGAUGAGUUGUGCCUAGGGGUGAAAGGCCAAUCAAACUCGGAGAUAGCUGGUUCUCUGCGAAAUCUAUUUAGGUAGAGCGUCAUCCGAAUACCCCGGGGGGUAGAGCACUGAAUGGGUAAUGGGGGCCCACAGCCUUACUGAUCCUAAUCAAACUCCGAAUACCCGGGAGUACUAGAUGGCAGACACACUGCGGAUGCUAACGUCCGUAGUGGAGAGGGAAACAACCCUGACCUACGACUAAGGCCCCUAAUUCAUGGCUAAGUGGGAAAGCAGGUGGGACGACCAAAACAACCAGGAGGUUGGCUUAGAAGCAGCCAUCCUUUAAAGAUAGCGUAACAGCUCACUGGUCUAAAUAAGUUGUCCUGCGGCGAAGAUGUAACGGGGCUCAAGCCAUGAGCCGAAGUCUAGGAUAGUGACAUUCCUUCGGGAAUGCACUGUGGUAGCAGAGCGUAGUGUGACAUAGGAUUUAGUCCUCAAGUAGCGAAGCGGUAGGACAUCAUAUAAUGAGUGUCGGAGACACGAAGCUUUCGAUGAAGCUGGGGCGUGAGCCAUCCGGUGGAGAGAUCACUAGUGAGAAUGAUGACAUGAGUAGCGACAAAGAGUGUGAGAGACACUCUCGCCGAAAGUCCAAGGGUUCCUGCUUAAAGCUAAUCUGAGCAGGGUAAGCCGACCCCUAAGGCGAGGCCGAAAGGCGUAGUCGAUGGGAACCAGGUUAAUAUUCCUGGGCCAGAUGGAAGUGACGGAUUGCGACGGUUGUUCCUCCUUAUUGGAUUGGAGGGGCCGCUUAGCAGUUCCUGGAAAUAGCUCCAUCGCUAGAUCGUACCCUAAACCGACACAGGUGGACUGGUAGAGAAUACCAAGGCGCUUGAGAGAACGAUGUUGAAGGAACUCGGCAAAAUACCUCCGUAAGUUCGCGAGAAGGAGGCCCAGUUUCUACGCAAGUAUUGGCUGGGGGCACAAACCAGGGGGUGGCGACUGUUUACUAAAAACACAGGGCUCUGCGAAGUCGCAAGACGACGUAUAGGGUCUGACGCCUGCCCGGUGCCUGAAGGUUAAAAGGAGGGGUGAGAGCUCCGAAUUGAAGCCCAGGUAAACGGCGGCCGUAACUAUAACGGUCCUAAGGUAGCGAAAUUCCUUGUCGGGUAAGUUCCGACCUGCACGAAUGGCGUAACGACUUCCCCACUGUCUCCAACAUCGACUCAGCGAAAUUGAAUUGCCUGUCAAGAUGCAGGCUUCCCGCGGUUAGACGGAAAGACCCCGUGCACCUUUACUACAGCUUCACACUGGCAUCAGGCCAUGCAUGUGCAGGAUAGGUGGUGGGCAUUGAAACCGUGACGCCAGUCGCGGUGGAGCCUCCCUUGAGAUACCACCCUUGCAUUGCUUGAUGUCUAACCGCGGUCCGUUAUCCGGAUCCGGGACCCUGUGUGGCGGGUAGUUUGACUGGGGCGGUCGCCUCCUAAAGCGUAACGGAGGCGCGCGAAGGUUGGCUCAGAGCGGUCGGAAAUCGCUCGUUGAGUGCAAUGGCAGAAGCCAGCCUGACUGCAAGACUGACAAGUCGAGCAGAGUCGAAAGACGGCCAUAGUGAUCCGGUGGUCCCGAGUGGAAGGGCCAUCGCUCAACGGAUAAAAGGUACGCCGGGGAUAACAGGCUGAUACUGCCCAAGAGUCCAUAUCGACGGCAGUGUUUGGCACCUCGAUGUCGGCUCAUCUCAUCCUGGGGCUGGAGCAGGUCCCAAGGGUACGGCUGUUCGCCGUUUAAAGAGGUACGUGAGCUGGGUUUAGAACGUCGUGAGACAGUUCGGUCCCUAUCUGCCGUGGGUGUAGGAUACUUGAGAGGAGUUGCCCCUAGUACGAGAGGACCGGGGUGAACGAUCCACUGGUGGACCUGUUGUUGCGCCAGCAGCAGUGCAGGGUAGCUAUGAUCGGACAGGAUAACCGCUGAAGGCAUCUAAGCGGGAAGCCCCCCUCAAAACAAGGUAUCCCUGAGGACCGUGGUAGACCACCACGUCGAUAGGCCGGAGAUGUAAGUGCAGCAAUGCAUUCAGUUGACCGGUACUAAUGGUCCGAUAGGCUUGAUUUGA
rnacentral:rRNA from 1 species